CUUCCUUAGCCGAUGGGAAAUGCAUUCAAAAAAUUUCGUACGGAUAUGUUUGGUAUUUCUUGAGUUAUCGUGCUCACAGACAAACACACACACAUACACACACACGCACAUACACACACACAUACACACACACAUACACACACACACACACACACACAUACCAACCCAGAUGAUUACAUAACCUCCUGGCGGAGGUAAUUAAAA